GUUUGCACCACUUUGGUCAUCUUGGGCAAGUGAUACCCAACCUCUGCUAUAUAUUUCUUUUUUGCUUUCCCAUGGUCCAUUUGUGUUGUGCAUAUGGACACUUCUGAACUCACUGCCUCUACACCUGGCAGCUCCAGGCUGACAACAGCAUUAGGAAGGCUAAGGACAGCCAGUGAAGGGCCUGGUUUGAUCAUCAGCUCCUCUCUUGUUAUAUGGAAGACUUUUAGUUCCCAAGUCUCCUGGUAUUGAACUGGGUCCAAGAGCCUUAGGAUAACCUACCAAGGCAGAGCCCAAAACUUUUCAGACACUGCCUGGGACCCUUUGCUCCCUACUUGCAGUAUCUCUUCCCUUCUCAUUAAACUCAGCUGAAGACCUUGCAAUCCAACAGCAAUGGAUGCUACUGCCUGGGGAUGGCCCAACCAGUUCUGACCCCAAAGAACAAUUAAAACCUCCAACCUGACAUGAGAGCAAGUUCUCCAAUUUGCUCCAGAAAGUGAGGAGUCUAGCAGUUAGGAGAAGAGAGAGGGUCAGGACUCCUGGGGCUAGUAUAUGUACAAAGGUUAGGAACAGAUGCUAUGCUUGUCCCUGGAUAAGUUGUCCCUGUGUUUGUCCAGAAACAAAAAAUCCCAGAUUGGCACAUACACACAUCACCUUUCUAAUACAAGUUUAGUGAGCAGCUGAAUACAGUGCCACUUUUCUAGCCCCGAUUCAGUGAUGCAAUCCUAGGACAACUGUAGUGAUAUAGUUUGCAAUAUUCUGGAAUAAACUGUAACUACCUCUUGCCCAGGGAAUUUUUUUUUAGCAUUUACCCCAGAAAAAGAAUCAUGGAUGUCUAUAAGACAAUACUUUGUCCCAGCACAGAAUGGAGACACGUACCAGGUUACCUACUUUUUUUUUUUGCCUGAACUGAAACACCUGUAAAGCUGAUAACCCUAUGUACUGGUACGCUAAGAAAGUGAGUGACUUUAAGUUUGUAAAGAACUUUGAGAUUUACUUUUUUUGGCUAACACACACACUAUAAAGAAAAAAGUUCAAACUAACCAGGUAAACUGUAUGCUGGCAUCUGCCUGAUCAAGAACAUGAAGCAACUGCUGAGAGGCUGAGAACAAGACAGACGACUGGUUCUCUAUACCCAUAAAUUGCUAUUUCUAUAAACUCUCCUGGCCCACUUAAUUUCACUUACAGCUGAAAGCUACUACUCUCAUCUGUCUCCAAUGAUUGUUCAGAGUUCCUAGGCAGCUCAUGACUCAUUCCAAUUUCAGAGUGGAUCUGUACUGCCCAUAAACAACAUUAUGAUUUCUGUUACAAAGGAACUCAAUUUCAGAAAACUGCUCAAAGUUAAAAGCUAUUAACACUAAGCAUCAUUUUUUUCACAUUUGUGCAUUUAAUUUUAGUAAAUACAAAUGUCUAGUUAAGAGUUUAGCCACUUGCAAAUUCAGUUCAGGAAAUUUGGGCCCUGAAGUUGGUAAUGGCCAUAUUCUUAAGCUAUGGAAGUUAUGCCAUUGGACUUGCUUGAGAAGAAAAUCAAUAGUGCUGAAUAUAUAGAAUUUCUAUGACAGAUUCACUUAUUAAAUAAACUGCUGAUAAAACCAAACAGUUACAUAUAUGCCACCAGUAAAUGGUUUAUUAGUUUAUCUCUGAUUUUUCACAGAAGUGUUACACAGUCCCUAUUUAGAAGAUAACAUGUUGGCAUUCUUCAUCCAAGUAAUUUAUUACACAUGCUAGAAAGAUUCCACUGUGUAGAACUAUUAUACAGCAACAGGGUACAAAUUAAGACGCACAGCACAGUAACACUGUUCAAUAAAAUAAAAGACUAUUUUUAUCAAAAAUUAUCUACUAACUGCCCUGGGUGGGGAGACAAUCGCUGUCUGUUUUAGUUGCUGAUUUCUGUCAAGGUGCUUUUUAUACACACUUCCACACAGACAGCAAGUCUCAAUACAGACCUGGAGAAAACAUAAUAAGCAAUAAAUGAGUUACAUGAAUGCCCAAAACAAAGAGACAUACAUUUUUAAAAGAAAUGAAUUAAGUUAAUUUCAGGUCCUUGAGUCUCUUUGCCAAGUUGUAGUUUUACAGUUGCAUUGUCCUAUUGUUUAAAAAAAAAAAAAUCUCCCUUGUUGCUAACUGAACCCCACAUAAAUAAAAAGGGAAAUUAGUUGAUCGAGAGGGAAGACCAUGGCCCUGAUUCCACACACACUGCUUAUUAGCUGUACAAAAUAUAUGUACUGGAAAGGCAGAAAAUAUUUUUCCUUUUAAUCUUUCAGUGAUAAUAGACUCAUAGGCAUCAGAAACAAUAACAGGACUUAGAAUCCAACCUUCUGUCUGACAAGAAAACCUGUAAACAUAGUUUCAAUUUAAGUUUCAAAGGCCAAGAAAAGUUUCUUCCUACACAAAGGGAGCAUUUUCCUUCUUGAAGUUAGUGAGUGGGAAGAGCUUGUUUUCUCCACACAGGGAUAUUGCUUUGGAAAGCCUGUGAUACUUCCACAAACUGUCACAAAAACAUGAAGAGUUAUGAAAAAAAAGCUACUGACUUCACCAAAUGGUGCACAGAAUUUCCAUAAUUUGUUAAUGCAUUUGGAGCUGACUCAGUACAAAACAAUUCUCAGGCUGUUCCUCAUCUGCUAUUCAUGCCCAUUCAUCUAUCAGUUCCAAGACAGCUUCACUCCUUUCCUGCACUGCACUUCUCAAAGCUACAUCUGAAGCUAUUCACCAUCACAAGAGCUGCCACAAUUCCAGAAGCCAUGUACCUUUGGAGAGAUCCUCUACUCAGUGAGAGUUCACACUCAGACCUCCUCUCCCAGCAUUUUAAAGGGUCUAAGUAUGCACUAAGGUCACCCUUCCUGCAGAGAAACUCAGUGAUCUUUGCCCAGGUCACUCCUAGGAACAGCAGAAGAUUACAUUUUUGGGAAUCAAACCUUAAAUAGACAGAAAAAAAAAAGAAAGAGUAACAGCAUUUGAAGGGGGGUGGGGAAAAAGAUAACAAUCCCCAUUUUCUCUAACUAUCCAUGCAUCUAUCCAGGUUCUUAUAUUGGCCACCCUGCAUAGUAUUUAAGUGCCUCUCUCAGCUAUUUACAAAAAAAGAUGUGCUCACAAUUCUGUGCAACCCAGCUCAUCUGAAGAUCUCAGACUGCAGAGCCAGUUUCAGGCAGGUUUCCCUGUUGGUAUGUUGCCCUUUUAAAGCCUUCUAGCAUUCUUCUCUAUGGGCACCACAUAAGCUUGUUGGAAGGAGAGAGGUAGGUAGCAGUGGUAGUCUGAAGUCAGGCAGAAGGUAGGGUAGGAUGGCACUUUAGACAUUAACUAGCUCAAAGGAGCCACAAGAUUUUGUGGACAGCAACCUGUUUUGUUGCAUCGGAGGAAGGAAACUGUUGCCUAUGUAAGCUUAUGCCUCUUGGAGCUAGUCAGCAUCUAAGUUGCCACCCCGUCCUACCUUCUGCCAUAAGCUUGUUAGAUAUCAAGUUUGUUAGCUAAGGAUAUAUGCAGCAUUGCUAAAAAUGUGAGACAGGAAGGCAGUAACAGAUUUGUGUUACCCAAAUUAUGACAUACUUGUUCCUUAUAAAGAUUGUUUUAGUUAAUAUUUAUUCCUUCCUUUCACUACUCUGACAGUCUAGAUAGGCAUGAUUAAUUCCACUUCCCCUAAAGCAUUACACACCAGAAUGCCACUUAUAUGCACAGCGGUGCAGUUCAUUUUUUCAGAAUGUUGGAGAUCGUUAAACUAACAAGCACAGGUGAAGGGUGAUUUUCAAACUUAAUAACUCUCACACAUAUUUUCAGUGGGGUGCUGAAAGAUGCUCACUGUCCUUCCUGUUAAAUUUCAUCUUAUUAACCCAAGGUUUUUUUUUUCCUAAAAUGCAAGAACUAAAAUUCACAUUUUUUUUCAAAUAAUGGCAGAACAUAUUUUUCUGACAUUUAUCAUUUGUAUUCUGGUGCCACUAUAAUGCGAUAGCCACUGUCCACACACACACACACACACACACAGAUUGCCCCAGGCUCCCAAUUUUUUACAGUCUAAGGCAGAGACAACAGAGUAGGAGAGAGGGUCACACAUGCAUCCUAUCCACAAACCAUGGCCUGUAUUUCACAUGCUAUAUGAUAUACAAGUCACGUUAACCAAUCACUCUGGACACGCAGAGUCUGUCAUCCAACUCCAAAGAAGUUCGAACAUAAAGAAAUAAAAACGCACCAAAUUCCACUGGAGUGAUUCAGUAGAAAAUCUAAGUGCUGGCUUUAGCCAUAAGGAGAUGGACGGCAGGUGUAUAUAUUUUUGAAUGGGGAAAGUCAGUCAGAUCUGCACAAUGGAAGUUAGGGGUUUUUGCAGAAAAAAAAGAUGGUCAGGGCUUCUGGGAUUUGGGCUGGCCACAUAAUGAUAUCAGCAGUAAUGAUAUCAUUACUGCUAAAAGUGGUCAUCCAUGGAACAAUCAAAGAGAACAAAACCAGUCUCCUUCGUGUUUCAAAGCUCCUGUCCCAUUUAGAGAAAUGAGGCAGUUUGCAUCUUGCAGGGCUAGAGCUCAAGCCUACAGGCAGUUCAGUUCAGUUCAGUUCAGUGUGUGUGUGCGUGCGCGCAUGUGUGUGAACAACAAAGGUAUGACCUUUUUAUCUUUUGUAAAAGAAAGGUGAAAUUCUGAAGCAUGGUUCGACAGUAAACGAUGGAUUCUGUGACAAUUCCAUGACUGUGAAAUAUGCGCUGGGAAAAAAAAAAAAGAGUGCCUGGCAUAUGAAUUAUACUAGGCAUUUUACAAAAUGAGACAGUGCGCUGAUAUGAAAAGCGUAUGAAGUAAGGAGAUAACAGGCAGAAAAAGAUAAAUGACAGGGACAAGAGUUACAGUUAAAAAAAAAAAAAAAAAAAAUCACAUCUUGGAGCAAUUUAACCAUUUGCUUUUGCUUUUAUCCCCUUCUACUUUUCAGCCAAUGUCAUGGAGAAGAACUAAAGGAGAAAUAGCAGGAAAAAAGUAGACAAAGAUGGAGCAGAAGAAGCGUGUGUUGAAAGCUUAGCAUGACUGGUAGGUUGAGGCUGCUAGCAGGGAGUAUGGGAGGCAGAGGGGAUAGUAGAGACUGAAAAAGAUCAACCAACAGCCUCCAAAGAAACCAUUUUUUUUCAGUCUAUAAGGACCUGCAUAGGGAGAGGGUUCUGUAGAUGUUAAGAUGAUCAGAGGUGCCAUGAGAUCCUUUUAAGGGUGAUGUGCAAUAUUAGAUACACCCAGAGAUUUCAAAUACGAGUCAGCAAUGUCAAAAACAUUCUGUCUUGUGGUCUUUCAGAGGUCUGUGCAGCAGAACUGCCCUAUUAUUUUUCCAUAGUCAAGAAACGAGUAAAAGCUAAGAGUUGGUAUUUUCUGAGGGAUGCCUCGAGUCUAACAAGGUUGAGAACCACUGAUCUAGUCUGACCAUCAUUCACAGGCCAAAGAACACCCUCCCCUCCCCAACAAGGACACUUAAUGAGCCCACAACUUAUGGCUGAAUUAGAACAUCUCUUAAAAAGACAUCCAAACUGAGCUGAAGGACUUGGAGUGACAGUGAUGAAGUUUAAGACUCUCAAAAACUUCUUAGUUGAACAGGGCAGAAGAGGAUUCAAUGGCUGAAGCCAGUCACCAAAGUUCAAAUCAGAAUGUAAAUACACAUUCUUAUAGUUAUGUCAUUAAUAAUGGAAGAGGAAAGGAUUUCUUAGGCUGAUAUCUUUUAUUGGACCAACUACAUAGUUGGGAUAUAUUUAUUAAGCUUUUGAAUACAAGAUAUAAGAAAUCCUUGCUUCUCCCAUUAUUAAUGACAAUAUCUUUCAUUUGAAAACUUGUCUAACUUUAUUCCCAACUACAGAGUUGGUCCAAUGAAAGAUAUCACCUUAAGAAAUCCUUACCUCUUACAUUAUUUCGGGACCAUUAUGGCUACAAAAUCACUCUUGUAUUACGUUAAAAACGGGGACAUUUAACCCUAGAGGUGAGAUGGGAUAUCUCCACCACUCUAUCUCCAAAUGCAGGAGUGGAGUUUAUUUCUGAAAGAUCUCCUCUUGCUCAACCAUAAACCAUUGGGCAGGAAGCACUAAUACCUGGAUGAACUCUUGCAUGCGCAAUGCUGAGUAACUGACUGGAGGGGCAAAGUGAUUAUCAGUGGCCUGAAAACCUACCAGUUACAAAUGUUCACUGUUAGAAUUGUGAAGAGUGUGAUGAAGUUAGGAAAUGUACAUGGGUGUGGCGACGAGGUGCCACCACAGGCUCCCAAAUGGGAGAGAGUAGACCCCACGGGCCCCAUACCCCAGGAGCAGACCCCCGGCAAGGGUAAUUCACCUACUGCAAGGCAGCUGGAGCAGGACCUGUGGCCGCAGCUGCAUGAACCGGCGUUACGCCAGUUGUUUAAUCAGCUGUUUCUGGCACGGGAAACAGCUGGACCAAUCCCAGUGGCCAUACCGGCCACCGCGGGAAAGUUUAAAAGCCCUGCCAGAACAAGGGCGGGGGCAGCGCUGGAGAAGGAGAGUGCGGGUCGGCGCAAGAAGGGAGUGAUACAGCCUGCGCGGCUCCUGCAGGCAGCACCCAGGAGACCUUUAAGUCCCCUGCUGGAGGCAAAGCAGGGGCACCCCUCCAGCUCCUGGCGGAAGUGGAGACCGAGGAGGAAGGGGAGUUCCUAGAAUAUAGCAAGAGGGAGGAGGCAUUUGCACCCCCUGGAGGAGGUAGGGGUAGAGGAGGCAGCUCUGCAGCCCUCUCCUCCCAGGGGAAUAUUUUUUUUUUAAUUGAGACAAACCCGAGAAGGGGAAAAGGCUACGACAACAAGGAAGGCAGGCCCUGCACCAUUCUACAGGGCUGGCGACCAUUACUGACGGACAUCCACCCAGCUGGCGAGUGGACGGGGUGUAGGGGAGGCGGAGCCCUGUGGAACAUCGCGUCAAACAACCAUUGGCUAAGCUCCACAUGUCUACAGGGUUUGAAGAUAUAUCUCAGUAAUCCUCUGGCCUGAACCAGUCACUGAGGAAUGCCAUCUUCACAGAAAAAAGCCAGAGACAGUAGUCUGACAAAUGUUUAAGCAGAUGGUGUGGGCUUUUUACGGAUGAGAUGCCAAACCCAUGGAAGAGGCUCAAGCACCUAGGGUGACUUAAAAUCUCUCUCACUGUAGUAACCCACUACAAACAAAGGAUGAAAACAAAGAAUUUGGUCUCCUUUGCUGCAGCUGCUUGAAGCAACCCUGCUAAAAGACAGAGGAUUCCUUCCUCAAGUUUGGUUACUAAAUAAAUAGUAAAGACAUUCACCCGCAUGUCAGAGGGUGAGAAGCAGAGAUGGAGGCCAAACAUGAUCUAAUGAAAACAGUUUUAACUGCUGCAACUGUGAUAUAUACCAAGUUAAAAAAAUGGAGAACUAUUUCAGGUCAGCUUCUUUCAGUUGUGAAAUUUUCAAGCCUAGAGUAGGUUUCUGUUAUUAAAAGGAUUUUAUCUUUCAAUGGGACAUUUUGGAUCUCAGAAAACAGCUAACAUUCUAGUCAUUCAAAGGUCAGACUACUGACUUUAAAUCCCGAGAGCCAGAUGGAUACUUUCAGAAACAUCUCCCAAAUCAAAGGAACUGGAAGAAGUCUGUAAAAGAUAGCCAAGCUAAAACAAAGGGAAAGGUAGUCUGUUACUGACAUUCAGUCCUGGUCAGUUAUCAAGCAGACCUAGAGAGAAUCCAGAAAGAAUACAUCAAUAGACCAUGUAUGUUAUUCACCAUAAACUCUGCUCAAAUAGUUUACCACAAUGGACGGUAAACUUUCCAAGUUAUUUAGGUGCUGAGAAGAAAUCAUUAAAGUUAAUGAGAUAUAGAUUCCCAAAUCACAUGGGUGACUGGACAUUAUGGCUGAGGUGUACAUUGUGUGGAGAUGGCUGGAUACCUCAGACACUGCCUAGCAAAAUAUGGCACAAGCACGGGACAACAAGAAGUUGAAUCUCCAGCAGUGGCAAAGAUUCAAGAGACCCAGCCAGAAUGGAAGGGAGUGCUAGCCAGGCAGUGUAGUCACUUUUGCUUUCUAUGCUGCUUUGUGGGAGUGAUUCAUGACCUACUCUGUUUUCUCCUCGUUCUUUAAGGACAUGGAUGGAAGUAUAUGUGAAUGGAAACCUGCAGAUUUGGAGAUCCAGCAAUGGCAGAGAAUUUACAAAGAGAGCUAUCCCACACUUCUCAACAGUUCACCUUUGUGUCAGCACUGGCUUUUGAGGCCUUGGCUUGCUUUGGUAUUAAUGGCCCUCCUUAGUGCUCGGCAAUAUUGCAUGACUUCAAAAAAAUGAUAGCCUUAAAACCACUCUCACACACUGGGCAGGAAGGCUGCCAUUACCUGGAUCCAAGAAAAAGUUAUCAAGUGUUCUGAUGACAAUCAUGUCUCAGCACUCAAAAGACCUUAAUCCACUUUCCCCAUCAACAGUCCAGCUCCUUCUCAGUCUUUUUAGCUAAUAAUGUUAUGGGUUUAACAUGUAUGAAUAUCAUACCAGGCUCUUCAAAGAUUUGCCUUGAACCUUGAUGGACAAAUUUUGCCCAAGGAAAAGCUACAGCAGGAGAGCAGGUGGUGAUGCCCAGAGGUUUUUAAGAUAGAGGCUCAGAUAGUGUCUCAUCUGUCCAGCAGGUUUAUCUGCUUGGGAGAGAUUCACAUCAGGACUGGACAUGACUUGGAGACUAUCCCACAACUGCUUCAGGAGCAAAGAGUCAGAAUCCUGGAUGGACUCAGGAAACAAUUUAACUAAGCCCCCAGGAAACUCACAAUGCAGGUGCCUUGACUUCAUAGGUAGGACUAUGCAGAUGACACUUCAAAGGAAAGCUUUAAAACACAAGGGGAAAGCCAAUCUCUGCUUCUUGGAUGAUAGGAGGCAAAUUCUUUGGGAAGGGUUAUUGCUGAGGCAAGGUUUUUUGCAUCAUUUCUCCUUUCCCCACUCCCAAAGCACUGGAUGCUGCAGAGUGGACUAGCUGGACCAUAAUAUAGUCUUCUAGUUUCAGACAGUAGUCAGUAUAGCAGAAAUGAAGGCGUUGCAUUUUGGCAAGGGUCAGAAUCUAAAAUACUGUUGACUGGAAGUGCUUAUGUGAAAAUACCUUUUCCAAGGUGUGAACCAAAGGAAGAAAAAUAAUCAAUUUCAGUGGUAGAAAAGGAUGCUGGAUACUACAGGGAAGCAGAAACCAGGCCUACAACUCAUUUGUGAUUCUCAGACAUCCCCAUCACACCCGAGACACUGAAGAUGUGGCAGGUUUGCAGUGAGAGGUGGACAUUUGCUUAACCUUUCCAUGAAUUUCUUCUGCUGCCAAUACUGGUGCUGUUGUUGAUAAGGGAUCCACUGAGCAGGGUACAAGACUGAAGAAUAUGCUGCCUCUUUUAGGUGAAAGAUGGAAGCUGUACCUCUGCUCUGAAGUAAAAAAAAAAAAAAAAAAAUACAGGCGCAAACAACUGAUCUGGUGUCCUUCACUUUUUCCAGUAUAUCAUCUGAAGAGACACUUCCCUAUCACACUUACUUCAAAUGAAAGGUUCUCAUCUCAAAUAAAGGUCUCAGCAAACAGA